rnacentral:rRNA from 1 species
GAUGAACGCUAGCUACAGGCUUAACACAUGCAAGUCGAGGGGCAGCACAGAGAUAGCUUGCUAUCUUGGGUGGCGACCGGCGCACGGGUGAGUAACGCGUAUCCAACCUGCCCAUUACUCUGGGAUAGCCUUGCGAAAGUAAGAUUAAUACCGGAUGUUGUUAAAAACCCGCAUGAGUUUUUAACCAAAGAUUUAUUGGUAAUGGAUGGGGAUGCGUGACAUUAGGUAGUUGGUGAGGUAACAGCUCACCAAGCCUACGAUGUCUAGGGGUUCUGAGAGGAAGGUCCCCCACACUGGAACUGAGACACGGUCCAGACUCCUACGGGAGGCAGCAGUGAGGAAUAUUGGUCAAUGGACGAGAGUCUGAACCAGCCAAGUAGCGUGCAGGAUGACGGCCCUCUGGGUUGUAAACUGCUUUUAGUUGGGAAUAAAAAGAGGGACGUGUCCCUAAUUGUAUGUACCAUCAGAAAAAGGACCGGCUAAUUCCGUGCCAGCCGCCGCGGUAAAAC